CCCUCUCUCCCUCUGCCCCUCCCCCUGCUCUCUCUCUCUCAAAUAAAUAAAUAAAAAUCUUAAAAACAAAACAAAACAAGACAGUGUAUUUUGACAGCCAGUGGUGCACAGAGAAAAGAUUAUAUCACCUUCAGGGGGAAAAAAGGAACUUAUUAUUCACAAGUUUUUUUUUUCCAGUAUGGAGAUGAAUGUUUUUGCCAUUUCCACUUGGGCUUGGAUACUUUCUUCUGGAUAGAAGUAAAGUAAGUCUAACUUCUUUUGCUGUGCAGGCUGCCCAAGCAUAAUAUCAAAAUACAGUCCUCAUGUGACUCCAGCUCACACCCUCAGGCUCCUCGGCCAUCCCUCAUGGUUUCCAAUCCUUCACUGUGUCUUCUCACUGCGUGUCCCUCAUUUCUCCCCAGCUAACUAUAAGAAACUGAACUUUUAAGACCCGACUCUGGAAAACCUUUCCAAGUUCUCCGUGACCAUUACAUAUUCCAUGCGCUCUAGUCACUGUCCUCUCGGUCUCCCCCCUCAACAUCAAUAUUUAUGGAACUUGACACGCCGGCCAGUGUGCCCGCGGCCUUAUCCAGAAUCUCACUGAAUCUUCAUAAGAGCCCCAUGGGACAGUUCUAAUUCUGCCUCAAUUUCAGAAGGGACAAAAUUGAGGCAUCGAGAAAUUAACUAACUUGCUUAGAUCACACAGUGUCUAAAUGGUGAGGCCAGGGUUCAAAAUCAGAUGAAGAGUUCAGGGUCCUGGCUCAUAAGCACCGCGCUCCACAGCCUCCUACAGUCUCUUCUAUAUCUGCAGACUGCUCCUUGCCCUGUGCCUGGCACAUCGUGAACACAGAUAUUUGCUGAGUGAAUGAAUGAUCCAUAGUCAUCUUCUUCUACAUAACGCCAUUUAUUAAUUUCUUCCUGAGACUGUAACGCCUCAUAUUGAAAACACUACUGCAAGUGUUUUUUGACCAGAAAAAAUAAACGACAUAGGUGGGAAGUCAAAUAAUACCACCCCCCCCCAGAAAAGAUGUAUAUAUACGAAAGCCCUGAAAUUAUGAAUAUGCCACAUUGAAUAGCAAGAGAAACUUUACAGACAUGAUUAAAUUAAAGAUUUUGAGAUGGGGAGACUAUCCAGGCAGACCCAAGGCCCCAAGUUCCCUAAAAGAGGAAGACAUGGGGGGUCAGAGGCAGAAAGGGCAUGUGUUGAGAGAAGCAGGCAUUGCAGUUGGAGAAAUCUGAAGAUGCUACCUUGUAGGCCUUGAAAAUGGAGGAAGGGACAUCCAUAAGCCAGUGAACACAGGCCUCCAGAAUCUGGAAAAAGCAAGAAAACGGACCUCCCCUCCAGCCUCCAGAAGGAACCCAGCCUUGCUGACAAAUUGGUUUCAGACUUCUGGCCUCCAGAACUGUAGGAAAAUGAAUUUGUAUUUUGUCAAGCCAAUAAAGUAUACUUUACCGUAACAAACUUUAGCAGUUGGGGGCACAGGCAAAAAAAAAAUUGAGCACAGAUACUUUUCUUGAUGUGGUUAUUUUGUUUCUACUGAUAACUCAGCCUAUUGGUAUAGUCCUUUUGAUAGUAGGCACGUUGGACUUUCAGACUGCAAGUAGAUGAAAACAUAGAUUCUCUUCAUUUUCAUGUUCUUCUUUAACGCAUCUGGAUGCCUGUCCUCUCAUGUCACCAGCUCCUCUGGAUUGUCAUCACCCUCCUAGUGCCUGCUGCGGCUGCUGCUCCGUUAGAGAAGACUGACAGAGAGGGUGGAGUCCAAUGUGUCUUUCAUUCUAGUGGGAUAAAGGGUCAGGGAGGCAGGCUCCUUCCUGCCUCCCUGGGGAAGCAGAGAGGCAGUGAGAAAAAGAGGGAAGCAUUUCAACAGAAAUCAAGAUGAAGAGCUCAACAAGAGACAUAUGAAGAUUCUUGCAGGACUAAGCUCCAGGAGCACAAAAAUGUUUGCCUGUUUUCCCCACUGGCAAACUAUUCCUAGCACCUACAGCAGGUGCUAGGCAGGUAACAAGCAAGUUAUUUAUUUAAUGACUGAAUGUGGACUGUGUUAAGGACAUGAAGGAUGAAGUUCAGAUCAAGUCCUAAAAGAUGGAUUUGCUGGUUUGAAGGUGACAAGCAUUUAUAGCAGAUUGGAGCUGGGGAAGCCACGAGAAGCCCCUUUAUCAUUCCCAGCUCACUGUAAUGACUCCACUUGCACCCUGCUUUAGGAGUGCUACUGAAAAUAGUUUUGUUUUGUUUUUGUUUUUGUUUGGUUUGUUUGUUUAGAGUGUGAACUUUUGAACAUGAAAAGAUCAAGCAGAAACUCAUCUGAGUGUGGGCUGAUGUAUGCUUUGCCCAGGAUUUCCACUUUUCCGGAUCCAUCCUAUAAAAACCUCCUGAAAUGAAACAGUGGAAGUUCAUUCAGCUCUAAUCCAGCUGUGAUGAGAGACAAGGGGGCUAGCUAAAAAUGUGAAUCAGUGGGCUGAGUGCCCCAAGGGAAGGUACCUGUAAUAUUUUGACAGAAUUAUCAGUCAUGGGACUGGAGCAGAAAUUAGCAGAGCAUCUCCACAGUUGGGGGAGGGAGGGACAUCUCCCUCCUCUCCCGGGAGUGGGAGUGUGCCCAUCAGCUAGGACAGUGGUCCCGGUUUCCAACACUUCUCAUGAUUGCGGAAGUUCUCUGAGUAAGGUGCUCCAGGAGGCAGAGGUUUGCAGACUGCCCCCAUCCAACCCUAGGAGGUGCCCUACCAUCUGGGGUUUGUUCAGGGACCUGCUGGGUAACCAGAAGGGUUGCCUGCCCUCUUCUGGACCAGGUAACCAGGAGUCAGCUAAGAGAGCCUCUGUCUUUUCCCACCCCUUCCUCCUUCCCACACCUCUUUCCUCCUCUGCUUGGCUUGAGGCCAAACUGUCAUCUAAGGAGGAAAGGUAAAGAACUUUAAUUCGGGUUUUGAAAUUCAAACUCAUAACAACCUUGUAAAUUUGAUAGCAAUCACCAAUUGCCCUCUACAAAGGAAGUUCGAUUUCAUACUUCUUGAAUAGUUUCCCUGACACCUUGAUGAAAUACAUUAAGCUCAUUAACCUUAAUUUUUGCCAGUCUGAUUUCUCAUUAUUAUCUACGUUUUCUUAAACAAUGUUAGUAUAAAAAGACAA